rnacentral:rRNA from 1 species
GAUGAACGCUAGCGGGAGGCCUAACACAUGCAAGCCGAGCGGUAUUGUUUCUUCGGAAAUGAGAGAGCGGCGUACGGGUGCGGAACACGUGUGCAACCUGCCUUUAUCUGGGGGAUAGCCUGUCGAAAGGAAGAUAAAUACUCCAUAAUAUAUUUAACGGCAUCGUUUAAUAUUGAAAGUUCCGGCGGAUAGAGAUGGGCACGCGCAAGAUUAGCUAGUUGGUGAGGUAACGGCUCACCAAGGCGAUGAUCUUUAGGGGGCCUGAGAGGGUGAUCCCCCACACUGGUACUGAGACACGGACCAGACUCCUACGGGAGGCAGCAGUGAGGAAUAUUGGUCAAUGGGUGCAAGCCUGAACCAGCCAUCCCGCGUGAAGGACGACUGCCCUAUGGGUUGUAAACUUCUUUUGUAUAGGGAUAAACCUACCCUCGUGAGGGUAGCUGAAGGUACUAUACGAAUAAGCACCGGCUAACUCCGUGCCAGCAGCCGCCGUAAAAC